ACAUUGCUUAUCGUUUAAGAAUUAAUUUUAAUGAUAGGUAAUUUCUGCCCACUGCAAUCUGGUAAAGGGCUGCAGUAUUUUGACUGUAUAAAGGUAGCAUAAUCAUUAGCUUUUUAAUUGGGGGCUGGUAUGAAGGGGGAGCCGAGGGAGUGGUGUAUUUAUGGAGUAAGUUGAAUUUUAUGGUUUUGUGAAAAAUCAAAAGUGGGUUUAAGGGACAAGAAGACCCUAUUUUAAGUUUGAUGAAUAUUUAUAAAAAGCAUAGAGGAAAGUAAUUUGUUGAUUAGUGUAAUUUAAAAAUAUUUGUUUAGCUGGGGCGGUGAGUCGAGUGAACACGACGAUAAUUUUAAUAUAAAUAUUUUGGGCGUGAAUAAGACCUGACUGGGUCAAUUAAUUGGAUAAUUACUUUAGGGAUAACAGCGUUAUUAUUUUUAAGAGUUCUAAUUGACAGAAUAGUUUGCGACCUCGAUGUUGGAUUAGGGUUAGCGUUGGUGCAGAAGUCGGCGUGUUUGGUCGUCGA
rnacentral:rRNA from 1 species